CCGUUCAUAGCGCAGUCUGGAUAGCGCGUCUGCUUUGGGAGCAGAAAGUCGAAGGUUCAAAUCCUUCUGGACGGA
rnacentral:tRNA from 1 species